rnacentral:rRNA from 1 species
AAGAGGGAAGAGCUCAAAUUUGAAAGCUGGUACCUUCGGUAUCCGCGUUGUAACCUCGAGACACGUUUUCCGUGCGGCGCUAUGGACAAGUUCCUUGGAACAGGACAUCGUAGAGGGUGAAAAUCCCGUACUUGCCAUGGAUGUACCGUGCUUUGCGAUACGUGCUCUAAGAGUCGAGUUGUUUGGGAUUGCAGCUCAAAAUGGGUGGUAGACUCCAUCUAAAGCUAAAUAUCGGGGAGAGACCGAUAGCGAACAAGUACCGUGAGGGAAAGAUGAAAAGCACUUUGGAAAGAGAGUUAAAAGUACGUGAAAUUGUCGAAAGGGAAGCGCUUGAAGUCAGCCAUGCCGCUCAGGACUCAGCCUGGCUUUUGCUUGGUGUAUUUCCUGGGUAGCAAGUCAGCAUUGGUUUGGAUCGUCGGAGAAGCAUAGUCGGAAUGUGGCGCCCUCGGGCGUGUUAUAGCCUUCUAUUGGAUACGACGAUCUAGACCAAGGAACGCAGCGCGCCUUAUGGCGGGUCUUCGGACACCUUCGCGCUUAGGAUGCUGGCGUAAUGGCUUUAAGUGGCCCGU